rnacentral:misc_RNA from 1 species
CUACUAUCGAUCUUUGAAUCUCGAAUAUCGUGAUUUGAGUAUCGACGUUGCGCAGCUGAGUUCGUGUAUUCCACAGAUGGAAUUGUAUGUCAAGGAGAGCAUUGAUAGAGAGAAAUGAGAUACAACAAUCGUGUAAAUCAAGAAAUUACCUAAAAAAGACGCGAGAAAAUAUAGCUGGGAAGAAUUUCUUCAGGCUUAACCAUAACAUAACUAAAAGUUUCUUAGUGUGUUUACGACCGACGUUAAUAAUAGACGGUACAAGAGAAUUAGUAAAAAUGCACCGUUCUAAAUCGACCAAGAAAAAAUUCUCUCCAUCAAAACCAGUAAAACGUCAAAUGAACACUGUUCCUAAAUAAUUUAUUUUUGAUUUUGUCAUUUUUUAUACCGAAAAUGGCUUCGUCAACUAAGAGAUCCUGGAAAUUACAGGAUUUUGCUGCUCAUACAUCAAACGUCAACUGUCUAGCAUUGGGUCAUAAAUCUGGCCGAGUGUUAGUUACCGGCGGUGACGAUCGUAAAGUCAACUUAUGGGCCGUUGGAAAGCACAACUGUAUUAUGAGCCUGAGUGGACACGCGACAGCAAUAGAAUGUGUUCGUUUCGGUCAAACGGAAGACUUAGUUUGCGCUGGAUCACAGACCGGUGUGCUAAAAAUUUGGGAUCUGGAGCAUGCAAAGCUUGCCAGAACUCUGACGGGACAUGGAAAUGGUAUUAGAUGCAUGGAUUUUCACCCCUAUGGAGAAUUAUUAACAUCAGGAAGUCUGGACAAAGCAAUAAAGUUGUGGGAUAUGAGAAGAAAGGGGUGUAUAUUCACUUACAAAGGCCAUACAGAUACUGUCAAUAGUUUAAAAUUUAGUCCUGACGGACAGUGGAUAGCCAGUGCUGGAGCAGAAGGGAAAGUCAAGCUCUGGGACUUGCGAGCAGGAAAACAAUUGAGAGAGUUUUCUGAACACAAAGGAUCGGUAACAACUGUCGAAUUUCAUCCUCAUGAAUUUCUUUUAGCCAGUGGUAGUACAGAUCGUACUGUCCAUUUCUGGGAUUUAGAAUCAUUUCAAUUGGUUUCUUCCACGGAACAAUCACAGUCCACGGCAAUUAGGAGUCUGUACUUUAGUCAAGGCGGAGAGUGUCUUUUUGCUGGUAGUCAGGAUAUUUUGAAGGUUUACGGGUGGGAACCAACACGAACGCUUGACUCAGUACCAACAGGUUGGGGAAAGGUUCAAGAUAUAGCUGUUGCACAAAAUCAAUUGAUCGGAGCUUCUUUUCACAUAGCAAAUGUAGUCCUGUUUGUUUGCGAUUUAAAAAAAGUCGCCCCAUUCGGAGGUAUCCCUACACCUGGGUCACCCUUUAGUCACGGCAACUCGUUGAGGAAAAGUUUUUCUAAAGAGAGACCUCCCGAAUUGAAGAAGCACAAAUUAGACGUUAAAACAAUAGAGGAAGCAGACAAGUCUGGUACAGAUCCUGAGGAUGAAGUGAUGCUAGCUGAAAUACCAAAUGUCACAGAUUACAGAGAUGUCUUUCAACCAAACAGGUCUUUAUCUCGCACGCCUCCCCCUGAAUUAGAAGCUUUUGUCGAACCUGAAGAAUUGGAUCCUACACAGCCGCAAAUACUUCAAACACUGUCAACGUCAUUGUCAAAUUUGAAUACAAAUGAAUUGGAUGAAGAACCACCAUCAAUAAUGAAGCCAGUACCAGUGCGUGUUCAUCCCAUAAAAUCUUCUCCACCAGUCCAGCGUAACUUGAUAACUUCUACAAGCCAAAUAAGAGCAAAUCUCCAGGCAAACAAUGCAAGCAAAAAUUCUAGAAAUAUAUCAACAAUCCCGCCACUUCGACAAAGUAUUACGCCACUGCUUAGCAAGAAGAAUGUUGGAAAUCAACCCUUGGGACCUCAGAGAUCAAACUCAACUUUGACACCUCGAGUCGCUCCUAUGGCUGCCAUAUCUCCGGUAAUGGAUGAUGGUAAAAUUAAAAGCAGAGCGCCCAGUCCAGAUUCUCCAAAACAUUGCCUGAAGAGGCAAAGCAGUUGUAAAGAGAGAGAACAGGGCUACGAAAGUGAUUAUCCGAUACAGAUAAACAACAUUAAACAUAGUCCGUCCGAUCCUGCUUUGAACCGGCCAAACACUGCUCAAUCACGGUCAACAUCGUUAAACAGAAAUUUUUCUAGUUCAACCCCUUUAUCAGCUCGGAAUGCAGUGAAAAAACAAAAUAAAGCUCAAAUUCAACCUAAUGUAAAGGUUGAAAUAAGGGUACCACAACUAAGGCCAGCAGUGGAAGAAAAGGUCAAAGAUGAAUUCGUUCCAAUGAUCGCUGACAAACCGAGUGGCCUUGACAUGGAUGAAUUUUUACCGAAUAGCUAUGGUGGCAGGGCAUUGGGUUACUCCCAAUUAGGCGUCCUCCCAGAAAUGUCAGAAGCCGAAGUACUGAACAGUAUGAUGCGUGGCUAUGAGUCCAUGAUGGCAGUACUUAACAGUCGUCAUAGAUCUCUGCAAAUCAUUUACUCGCUAUGGCACAGCAAAGACCUCAAGGCAGCGGUUGACUCCGCGGUAGCAAUGAACGAUUUGGCUGUUAUAGUCGACCUUUUAGGAGUUAUUACGCUUAAACCAACCAUUUGGAACUUGGACCUAUGUAAUUCUUUGCUUACCUCCAUCGGCGAUCUACUUCAAAGUAAAUACGAAAUUUGCAAAGAGGGAGAGGAGAGGAGUUCUUAUGACAUGUGCCAUUCUCACCAUCCUCACAUCUACACUCACUCCUCGAUAUCUUGCAAUCUUAAGACGGACGUCACAUGAGAAGUGACCACAGAAGAUGGUAUUUAAUGUAAUCCCGUCAUAUAAAUUCGAGGAAAUCGGAAAUCUCAGGCUUUCUUCACUCAUCCAAAGUGUCUGAGCUUCCUCCAUUAGCCGAAGAGUUUCCGAGCUUUCAUCUUCCUACGGUGAUAAAUCUGUCAAGGAAUAGCUUUGUGACUACGAUGCCGUCGUAAGAUCUGUGCAGCCUGAGUGAGAACGAGGAAAAAGCGUACCAAAAGAUUUAAAGUGCACAAUGCUAUAAGAGGACGUAACUAAAUGGUAUGACUAACUAAAUGUAUGGCCUUACAUCCCUAUCCUGUUGAACUAAUUAGCACUAAUUUUCAAAAUCUGUCGGCGCAUUGAAGAGGAGUACAAACAAAUCGGCCGUAUUCCAGAGUUCUCGUGCCCUAACCGGGCAUUCAAUUGCUCCGACGUUCUAUGCUGACCCUUCAAUGAAAGCGAACGGAACACGUACAGAUUACCUAUUACUACGGUUAUACCAGGCCUCCUGUACUCCCCCGCAUUUUCUAUUACUCCAAGCCAUUGACAGCCCGUCAUUAUGUCAGGAUUGAGAACCAAAUACACCGGCAAAUAUAUAGCCGUCACUGUGUGCCCGGGGUCGUAGAGAUUAAUAGGGAGGGGUGGUUUUAUUCUAUCGAAAUCACUGCGACAGACAAGCGGACGGACAGAUUGACUUUGAACGGUAACGUGAUACGCAGGCAUUCACACUCAUUCUCAGCUUCGUGACCAGGUACUUUGAUAUCCAAGGCGAGAAUAUAUCUACGUGUGUAUUAGUAGAAUUAAUGAUGUCAUACCAGAAAUAUGACUUUCAUUCGGUAAGAAAUUAUUUUUUUGUGAAUAUUGAAUGAUCACAUUACAAGAAACAAAUGAAGCCCACACUUGAGGAUGUAUUGAUGAUAAGAAAUCAUUUCUAGAAGAUAGAAAAAUAUGUUUAUUGAAAAUGGGGAGUGAAAACAGAAGACAGUAUGGUAAAGUUGUGCUAAGUCUGAUGUACGUCAUGUAUAAAGUGAGUCUGAUGCUGAAUGAUUAUUUGAAAGUAGUCCACAAGAACGGUGUAAAGUAAGGCGAUAAUAAUUCUUGUACAAGGCGUGCGAUAUUCGAAUAAACGAUGAUAAAUCCCAUUGCAACUUGAACCGAAUCAAUGACUAAUAUAGUUUAGAAGAUACAAGCUAGAAACGGUGAAAUCCUGCCAUACUUUCACAGCUGUUGAUCCCAUGAUGCUCUUUGUAUUUUUAUACUCCUGAGGGUCAAAUUCGUCCAGAAUACGUCUGACAAAUCAACUGUACGACGAGAUGUUUCUGAAUCCAAAUCGCGAAAAAGAUGCUGAAAUCAAUUCUUUCAUGCACUAUAUCCACGUAAUUAAGCAAAAGUGAUUUAUUGCGCACAGUCUCGACUCGCUGGGAACAACGCAUUACCAGUUAUUGCCAGUGAACAUAAAAUUCUUACCCGGGUAUUAAAAAGUGAGAGUUCAAUACACAUGACUUUAAGUCAAAUACAAUUCAUGAUAUAUGUGAUACUUAUUUUUGUAAUUUCUGAGUAUUCUUUAACUUCUGUCCUGCACAGAGGAGCAAUGUGUCUGUGCAAAAUACGGCAUGUACGACAUUAUAUUGUUAUUGUUUCAUGUAAACUGUAUUAUAAUCAAUUAAUAA